CCCUGACGGCUUUAGAAGCCUUUCAGCGCCGCCAUGUCAAAAACUCAGAUUCCCAGAAGGCUUUGCACCACCAAGGCUCUGUACUAUGAGGGCGAAGCGCAGGCAGAACUUCCUUUCUGAGGAGGACGGGGAAGAAAGCACACGUUUCCAGCGUGGUGUGAGACAAUGUGGCCCUGUGAAAUAGGCUGCAAUCGCGGAGCCUGCAUUUUAAAGCGGGUUCUUUUACCAGAAACUUGAAUGUAGCGUGGACAUCAGUGUGGGCUGUGCGUCUGUAAAAUGGACGCGGAAGGAGACCGUUUCGAGACGCAGACGCGCACUGCACCCCUGUCCGUGGCGUGAUGCAGGGCCGAGGUGCAGAGACGGGGGAGAGAGAGAGCGAGCUCUGACCGGCAAGGGCAGCAGACGGAGAGUCCUGAGGCGGAUGCAGUUUGCUCUGGAUGUGGACGUGCAGGAGGUGUGUGCCUUCCAGUCAUCACCGGACCGCUGCUUGGACUGAAGAUCGGCUCAGUCCCCGUGCUCCGGAGGAAUUGCGUGUGAGUUCUGGAAGAUGUGAAACUGGAGGUUUUGUACAGGGAAUUGAGUGUUAAUAAAGAUGUUUGUUGGAAUAAAACGAUUUGUACUUA